rnacentral:rRNA from 1 species
CAUGGAGCUGAAAUCAGUCGAAGAUACCAGCUGGCUGCAACUGUUUAUUAAAAACACAGCACUGUGCAAACACGAAAGUGGACGUAUACGGUGUGACGCCUGCCCGGUGCCGGAAGGUUAAUUGAUGGGGUUAUCCGUAAGGAGAAGCUCUUGAUCGAAGCCCCGGUAAACGGCGGCCGUAACUAUAACGGUCCUAAGGUAGCGAAAUUCCUUGUCGGGUAAGUUCCGACCUGCACGAAUGGCGUAAUGAUGGCCAGGCUGUCUCCACCCGAGACUCAGUGAAAUUGAACUCGCUGUGAAGAUGCAGUGUACCCGCGGCAAGACGGAAAGACCCCGUGAACCUUUACUAUAGCUUGACACUGAACACUGGUCCUUGAUGUGUAGGAUAGGUGGGAGGCUUUGAAGUGUGGACGCCAGUCUGCAUGGAGCCAUCCUUGAAAUACCACCCUUUAAUGGCUGGUGUUCUAACGUGGGCCCGUAAUCCGGGUUGCGGACAGUGUCUGGUGGGUAGUUUGACUGGGGCGGUCUCCUCCUAAAGAGUAACGGAGGAGCACGAAGGUCAGCUAAUCCUGGUCGGACAUCAGGAGGUUAGUGCAAUGGCAUAAGCUGGCUUGACUGCGAGCGUGACGGCGCGAGCAGGUGCGAAAGCAGGUCAUAGUGAUCCGGUGGUUCUGAAUGGAAGGGCCAUCGCUCAACGGAUAAAAGGUACUCCGGGGAUAACAGGCUGAUACCGCCCAAGAGUUCAUAUCGACGGCGGUGUUUGGCACCUCGAUGUCGGCUCAUCACAUCCUGGGGCUGAAGUAGGUCCCAAGGGUAUGGCUGUUCGCCAUUUAAAGUGGUACGCGAGCUGGGUUUAGAACGUCGUGAGACAGUUCGGUCCCUAUCUGCCGUGGGCGCUGGAGAAUUGAGGGGGGCUGCUCCUAGUACGAGAGGACCGGAGUGGACGCAUCACUGGUGUUCGGGUUGUCAUGCCAAUGGCAUUGCCCGGUAGCUAAAUGCGGAAGAGAUAAGUGCUGAAAGCAUCUAAGUACGAAACUUGCCCCGAGAUGAGUUCUCCCUGACUCCUUGAGAGUCCUGAAGGAACGUUGAAGACGACGACGUUGAUAGGCCGGGUGUGUAAGCGCAGCGAUGCGUUGAGCUAACCGGUACUAAUGAACCGUGAGGCUUAACCUUACAACGCCGAAG